rnacentral:rRNA from 1 species
UACGGAGGAUGCAAGCGUUAUCCGGAAUGAUUGGGCGUAAAGCGUCCGCAGGUGGCUGUGUAAGUCUGCUGUCAAAGAGCGAAGCUCAACUUCGUAAAGGCAGUGGAAACUACACGGCUAGAGUGCGUUCGAGGCAGAGGGAAUUCCUGGUGUAGCGGUGAAAUGCGUAGAGAUCAGGAAGAACACCGGUGGCGAAGGCGCUCUGCUAGGCCGCAACUGACACUGAGGGACGAAAGCUAGGGGAGCGAAUGGG